rnacentral:misc_RNA from 1 species
GAUGAAGAACGCAGCGAAAUGCGAUACUUGGUGUGAAUUGCAGAAUCCCGUGAACCAUCGAGUCUUUGAACGCAAGUUGCGCCCGAAGCCACUAGGCCGAGGGCACGCCUGCCUGGGCGUCACACGUCGUUGCCCCCCCCCCAUCUACUCCUUCGGGAUUGCGGGGGGCGGAUGAUGGCCUCCCGUGCGCCUAGCCGCGCGGUUGGCAUAAAUACCAAGUCCUCGGCGACGCACGCCACGACAAUCGGUGGUUGCGAAACCUCGGUUGCCCGUCGUGUGCGUUCGUCGCGCAUCGAGGGCUCGAAAAAAUGCUCGGCUCCGGCUCGGCUUUCAAUGCGACCCCAGGUCAGGCGGGGUUACCCGCUGAAUUUAAGCAUAUCAAUAAGCGGAGGA